rnacentral:rRNA from 1 species
CCCUUAGAUGUUCUGGGCCGCACGCGUGCUACACUGAGUGGAUCAGCGGGUCAGGUUGCGCGAAAGCGUUUCCUAAUCUUUAAAUCCGCUCGUGAUGGGGAUUGACGGUUGCAAUUUUCUGUCAUGAACGAGGAAUACCUUGUAAGCGCGGGUCAUCAUCCCGCGCUGAAUACGUCCCUGCCCUUUGUACACACCGCCCGUCGCAUCUACCGAUUGAAUGGAGAGGCAAAAUCUUCGGACCGUGACGCUUGGGAGUCAAAUCUCGGGCUGUCGUGGGAAGUGGAUUAAACCUUUCUAUUUAGAGGAAGGUAAAGUCGUAACA